GGGGGCGUAUGUCAGCAUGGCAGACUGCCAGCCUCGGGCGCUGGAGGUCGCCGGUUCAAAUCCGGCCGCCCCCA
rnacentral:tRNA from 1 species